rnacentral:misc_RNA from 1 species
UGACUUUCCAUAACAUAGAGAUUGACUUUCCAUAACAAUAAUAAAUCAAUAAAAAACAAGCUUAACACACUUGUCAAAAGUGUGCACGGGCAUGUAGUAAGAAUACCAAUUUGGUUUUAAAAUUGGAACUUAUGGCAAAAGCAAACCAUGGACACACAAGAAAUGCAGCAAGAUUCAAAGAAAGGAAACAAAAACCUAAGGACAAAAACAAAUAGUCUAAGUAAAAUGAUGACCAUCCCUUCUCUGCUACUUGUCAGGGUAAUGAUUAAAUUCUAAAUCAGCACACUUAGAUGAUCACACAUACAAGAUUUUCAAGCAGUUUGUCAAGUCCUUGGGGCUAAAGAAAACAACACAAAAAUGAUACUACACAAAAAACCAAAAAGAAACCUUAUGCAAGGA